CAUAUAUAUAUACAUACAUAUAUAUAUCGGUUGGAGCGAUGGGCGGUUUGUACAAAAGGCAGAGACCUAGUCAACGCGAGCUGAUAACUUGCGCUUACUUGGAAUUUCUCAUUAAAGCCCCAUUGUGCCCGAACCCUUUCACACCACGAGGCACUAUCUAUGAAUUGGGUUGUUAGGAAUGCAGUCCAAAUUGGACGGUGAAUUCCAUCCAAGGCUAAAUAUGAGCGAGAGACCAAUAGCGAACAAGUACCACGAGGGAACGAUUAAAGAACUUUAAAAAGAGAGUCAAAGUGUGCUUGAAAUUAUUGGGAUAUUGAACGGAGAUGAGUCAUUUCGCCAAUUGACUCGGGGCGUGGACCAGCUGGAUUAGGGGACAGAUAAAGUCUGGGCUCUUGAUACGCUCGUGGAAUAUCGUUUCCUCAAUUGUAGCAUGCAGCGCGUGCCUCUGGCAUACUUCGACAUCUACGUUGUCCGGACGUUGGCCCGUGGGCUCCCCAUUUGAGCUAUCUUAAAACAUGAACCAAAGAGUCUGACAUGUGUGCGAGUCAAUUAAUGAGUAAACCCGUAAGGCAUAAGGAAGCUGAUUGAUGGGAUCCCCCUGAGUGGUACACCACCGACCGACCUAGAUCUUCUGAGAAGAGUUCGAGUGUGAGUAUACCUGUUGGGACUCGAAAGAUGAUGAACUAUGCUUGAGCGGGGUGAAGCCAGAGAAAACUCUGGUGGAGGCCCACAGUGAUACUCACGUGCAAAUUGUUCGUCUGACUUGGGUAUAGGGGAGAAAUAUUAAUCAAAUUAUCUUAUAGCUGGUUCCCUCUGAAGUUUCCCUCGAGAUAGUUGGAGCUCGCGUCCAUGUUCUAUCGGGUAAAGCCAAUGAUUAUAGGCCUUGGGGGUGCAACGCCCUGUACCUAUUCUUAAACUUUAAAUAGGUAGGACAACCCAGCUGCUUCAUUGAGCUGUGCCACAGAAUCAAGAGCUCCGAGUGGGCCAUUUUUGGUAAGAACAACUGGCUAUGCAGGAUAAAUUGGAAGUCGGGUUACAGUACCAAAAUGCGUGCUAACCUAGAUCCCACAAAAGGUGUUGGUCGAUUAAGAUAUUAGGAAGGUGGUCAUAGAAGUCAAAAUCCUUUAAGGAGUGUGUAACAACUUACCUGCCAAAUCAACUUGCCCCAAAAAUGGAUGGUGCUUAAGCGUCCGACAUACACUCGGCUGUUGGGGCAAAUGCUAGGCCCCGAUGAGUAGGAUAGCGCAAUUGUCGCUACAAAAUCUUAGGCAUGAACCCAAGCGGAGCCGACGUCGGUGCAGAUCUUAAUGGUAGUAACAAAUAUUCAAAUGACAACUUUGAAGGCUGAAGAGGGGAAAAGUUCCAUGUGAACUACACUUGCACAUGGGUUAGUCGAUCUUAAGGGUCCAGGGAACCCCGACAGAUAGCGUGUUUUGCAUGUAGUCUAAAAGAGAAUCGGGUUAAAAUUCCUAAACCAAGAUGUGGCGGUCGAAAGCAAUGUUAGAAAGUCUAGAGACAUUGGUGUAAGCCUCGAAAAGAGUUAUCUUUUCUGUUUAAUAGCCUACCCACCCUGGUAUCGGCUCAGUCGGAGGUAGGAUACAGCGGCUAGAAGAGCACCGCACGUCUCGUGGUAUUCGGUGUGCUCCUGACGGCCCUUAAAUAUCUCGAGAAUCGAAUUCUGUCCAUGUCCGAUCAUACUCAUAACCGUAUCAGGUCUCCAAGGUGAACAACCUCUGGUC
rnacentral:ncRNA from 1 species